rnacentral:misc_RNA from 1 species
GUUCAUUAAAGAUCUAGCAUGCAUCUCAUUUAGCAUGCAUUGGGAUCAUGGUGAUCCCUAGCUCUUCUUUAGUUGGUGUUUUUCAUACAACAUCUCAGUUUUCUGAUAUUUAAACAUAUUCAAGGAGUAAUCUAUUUGCACUGCACAUUGUUACGAAGGACAUUUAAUAAAGAUAAAAAGGCAAAAGAAGAUGGCAAUAGAAGAGGAGCUCAAGCACCAAUGGACUUCAUUAUAUCAAUUCUCAUUCUUUUCCAAAUCUCAAGUAAUUAGUAAACAACUUCGAAGUGAUUUCUUCAGAAGUACUACAUCCACCAAUACAUCAGCCAUAACACAUUUGUUCUAGGAAAACUUCCUUCCCAGAAAUCUUCAGUUACCUC